rnacentral:rRNA from 1 species
AAAUUGAAGAGUUUGAUCAUGGCUCAGAUUGAACGCUGGCGGCAGGCCUAACACAUGCAAGUCGAACGGUAACAGGAAGCAGCUUGCUGCUUUGCUGACGAGUGGCGGACGGGUGAGUAAUGUCUGGGAAACUGCCUGAUGGAGGGGGAUAACUACUGGAAACGGUGGCUAAUACCGCAUAACGUCGCAAGACCAAAGAGGGGGACCUUCGGGCCUCUUGCCAUCGGAUGUGCCCAGAUGGGAUUAGCU